rnacentral:rRNA from 1 species
UACGUAGGGGGCAAGCGUUGUCCGGAUUCAUUGGGCGUAAAGAGCGUGUAGGCGGCCAGGUAGGUCGGUUGUGAAAACUGGAGGCUCAACCUUCAGACGUCGACCGAAACCAUCUGGCUAGAGUCCGGAAGAGGAGAGUGGAAUUCCUGGUGUAGCGGUGAAAUGCGCAGAUAUCAGGAGGAACACCGAUGGCGAAGGCAGCUCGCUGGGACGGUACUGACGCUGAGGUGCGAAAGCGUGGGGAGCAAACAGG